AGUCCGAGCCUCCCCCUGGGAGAGGCCACACACUCGGCCAGCUCCUCAGAGUCUGAGCAAGAACGCCUGGCUCAGAAUGCGAGGCUGGAGCGUCCACGAGGGACCGCCCUUCCGGCUUCCUCCUGUUUUACCAACGAGGAACUCCAGGCCUGUGGUGCGUGGCGGCCCGGAGUUCACUGCCGUCGAGUUUCGGUGUCUGAACUGGAUCUCGGUUCUCCUGCUGCAAAGUGCUCCCUUCGAGCUAUGGGAGCCAUUGGAGAGUUAAACACAGGGGAACGGCAUGCUACAGUCUCUUCACUCUCACCAAACACGCUGUUGUGCAUGAAUGUGGAAGCCGACCCUAAAUCUCUGGAUCACAGUAUCAUAUGCAGGGGUACCAGUGGCUGGUCCAGGAUACAUUGGAUUAAAGGCUGGAGUCCCAGGCAUCUGUGAAGACAAGUCUUCAUACUAAACACAGGCACGGCAUAAGUAAGAACCAAGUUCUUUGUUCACUGAAACAACCAAACAUUUUCUUUCUAGUUUGCAAAUAUUAGACAGUGGUCAAGAGAGUGUGUGCUUUGAAUGUUAUUUUAGUCAUUGUGUGAGUGUGAGAGAAACUCUCUUCUUUUUUAAUAGGAUGAGUUUGUUGUCCACAUGUGCUUGGGAGGAUUAAUCCCAGGCCGGAUCAUCAUCCACUCUAUUCUCAGGAUGUAAUCACAACAGAAGGUCCUCUAGCACGAAGCCAUGGCCAUUUGUGGGAGAAUGCUGCAGUGGCCUUUGAACUGAUGGUGGCAGAACAGUAACAUCAGGGGAAUGAAGGCAUUUUAUGACAUUUUGUCAUGUUACCUCUUUUUCAAGUAGUUCUUAUACAUUUUCUUUGUUUAUGUGUGGUGUUAGACACACACGUGGGCAUUUGGGGUUCGUCUUGUUGGUAUGCAUGCAUUAAUACCCAUGUACCUGGAAGAACCAAAUAUCAGAUGCGCAUUUUUCACUCUGAUACUAUCCUUAGUUAAAGAUACUUUAGGCUUGCUAUAAUCUGGCAGAUGCAGGGACCAUGGGCAUGGAGAGUCCCAAAUACUGAUUAAUACUGG
rnacentral:lncRNA from 1 species